rnacentral:tRNA from 1 species
CAUAUUAUAGCUUAACUAAAGCAUCUCGCUUACACCGAGAAUAUGUCCGUGAAAACCAGACUUUUGCGA